rnacentral:rRNA from 1 species
CGCGCAGGCGGGCUGAUCAGUCAGUGGUGAAAGUUUACGGCUUAACCGUAAAAUUGCCUUUGAUACUGUCAGUCUUGAGUUCGGAAGAGGAAAGUGGAAUUCCUGGUGUAGCGGUGAAAUGCGUAGAUAUCAGGAAGAACACCGGUGGCGAAGGCGGCUUUCUGGUCCGAAACUGACGCUGAGGCGCGAAAGUGUGGGUAGCGAACA